rnacentral:SRP_RNA from 1 species
AUGGAGUGCAGUCACACGAUGCAGUGCAUCUGAGGUCCCAGGUACUCGUGAAGGAGUUCUGGGCUCUAGUGAACUAUGACAAUUGUGUGUCCUAAGUUUGGCAUCAAUAUGGUGACUUCCUACAAGCAGGGAACCACCAGGUUGCCUAAGGAGGAGUAAAUCAGCCCAGGUCGGAAAAAGAACAGGUCAAAACUCACAUGCUGAGCAGUAGUGGGAUCGCACGUGGGAGCAGCCCCUGCAUUCCAGCCUGAGAAAUACAGUGAGACUCCAUCUCUU